UACGUAGGCUGCGAGCGUUGUUCGGAUUUACUGGGCGUAAAGGGUGUGUAGGCGGUUGUUUCAGUUUGGUGUGAAAUCUCCCGGCUCAACUGGGAGGGUGCGCCGAAUACUGAGCGACUAGAGUGCGGGAGAGGAAAGUGGAAUUCCUGGUGUAGCGGUGAAAUGCGUAGAUAUCAGGAGGAACACCGGUGGUGUAGACGGCUUUCUGGACCGUAACUGACGCUGAGACACGAAAGCGUGGGUAGCAAACAGG
rnacentral:rRNA from 1 species